AUUGAACGCUGGCGGCAUGCUUUACACAUGCAAGUCGAACGGUAACAGGCCGCAAGGUGCUGACGAGUGGCGAACGGGUGAGUAAUGCAUCGGAACGUGCCCAGUCGUGGGGGAUAACGCAGCGAAAGCUGCGCUAAUACCGCAUACGAUCUAUGGAUGAAAGCGGGGGACCGUAAGGCCUCGCGCGAUUGGAGCGGCCGAUGUCAGAUUAGGUAGUUGGGGGGGUAAAGGCCCACCAAGCCGACGAUCUGUAGCUGGUCUGAGAGGACGACCAGCCACACUGGGACUGAGACACGGCCCAGACUCCUACGGGAGGCAGCAGUGGGGAAUUUUGGACAAUGGGGGCAACCCUGAUCCAGCAAUGCCGCGUGCAGGAAGAAGGCCUUCGGGUUGUAAACUGCUUUUGUACGGAACGAAACGGCUCUGGUUAAUACCCGGGGCUAAUGACGGUACCGUAAGAAUAAGCACCGGCUAACUACGUGCCAGCCGCCGCGGUAAGAC
rnacentral:rRNA from 1 species